rnacentral:lncRNA from 1 species
UGAAAUAACAAAACGCGCAGUAUGUUAUAAUUUUAAUGUUUACUAAAGGGGACCUUAGAGGGCGCUUGUGGAAAAAAAGCGCCCUCUAAAGGGGGCCUAAGAGGGCGCUUAUGAAAGCGCUCUCUAAGGCUUUCCAGAAGCGCUUUAUAAACUGGAAAUGCACAUGGACUUAUAGAGCGCUUCUUUAAAAGCGCCCUCUAAGGGUAAC